CACGUAGGAGGCGAGCGUUGUCCGGAAUCAUUGGGCGUAAAGAGCGCGCAGGCGGCUUGGCAAGUCGGGUGUGAAAUCCCGGGGCUCAACCCCGUGACUGCAUCCGAUACUGUCAGGCUAGAGGUAGGUAGGGGAGAUCGGAAUUCCUGGUGUAGCGGUGAAAUGCGCAGAUAUCAGGAGGAACACCAGCGGCGAAGGCGGCGCUCUGGGCCGGUACUGACACUGAGGAGCGAAAGCGUGGGGAUCAAACAGG
rnacentral:rRNA from 1 species